ACGGGAGGCAGCAGUGGGGGAUAUUGCACAAUGGGGGAAACCCUGAUGCAGCGACGCCGCGUGAGUGAUGAAGUAUUUCGGUAUGUAAAGCUCUAUCAGCAGGGAAGAAAAUGACGGUACCUGACUAAGAAGCUCCGGCUAAAUACGUGCCAGCAGCCGCGGUAAUACGUAUGGAGCAAGCGUUAUCCGGAUUUACUGGGUGUAAGGGGAGCGUAGACGGUGACGCAAGUCUGAAGUGAAAGGUGUGGGCUCAACCCGCAAACUGCUUUGGAAACUGUGUGACUAGAGUGUCGGAGAGGUAAGUGGAAUUCCUAGUGUAGCGGUGAAAUGCGUAGAUAUUAGGAGGAACACCAGUGGCGAAGGCGGCUUACUGGACGAUAACUGACGUUGAGGCUCGAAAGCGUGGGGAGCAAACAGGAUUAGAUACCCUGGUA
rnacentral:rRNA from 1 species